AAAUUUUGACAAUGGGGGAAACCCUGGUCCAGCCAGCCCGGGGGCAGGAUGAAGGCCGUCGGGUUGUAAAAUACUUUUUGCAGAGCAGAAAAGGUAACUCCUAAUACGAGAUAGUUCCGACGGUAUUGGCAGAAUAAGGACCGGCUAACUACGUGCCAGCAGCCGCGGUAAUACGUAGGGUGCAAGCGUUAAUCGGAAUUACUGGGCGUAAAGCGUGUGUAGGCGGUUCAGAAAGAAAGAUGUGAAAUCCCAGGGCUCAACCUUGGGACUGCAUUUUUAACUGCCGAGCUAGAGUAUGUCAGAGGGGGGUAGAAUUCCACGUGUAGCAGUGAAAUGCGUAGAUAUGUGGAGGAAUACCGAUGGCGAAGGCAGCCCCCUGGGAUAAUACUGACGCUCAGACACGAAAGCGUGGGGAGCAAACA
rnacentral:rRNA from 1 species